CAAUGAUCUGGUUUCUUGCACUUCACUUGGUGGUAUUAAUAUUUAAUACCACCAAGUGAAGUGCAAGAAACCAGAUAAUUG